GCCAGCAUGAUGGAAUGGUAGACUUGGCUGACUCAAAAUCAGCUGCCGUAAGGCGUGCCGGUUCGAGUCCGGCUGCUGGUACCA
rnacentral:tRNA from 1 species